UCCUGACCCAGGAACCAAACCAGAGUCUCCUGCAUUGCAGGCAGAUUCUUUACCUACUGAGCUAUCAGGGAAGCUGCUGCCUUCUAGAAUGCAUACUCACUGCCAGGAGGUGUAGCAGCCAGUGUUUGAGCAUAAACAUGAAAACUCCAUUCUCUGAUGGAAGAGCUGAAAACUUUGUGGGCUUUGAGUCCCUGAUGACAUCAUGAAACUGUCCUACAAUCAUUUGCCCAGGCUGUGCCUUAUGGCAUGUGGGAUCUUAGUCCCCCCACUAAGGAUUGAACCCACCUCCCCUUCAUUGGC